UCCCGACGAGUAGGAAGGACGCCACGGUGAGCUUUGAAGCGGUCAGGGCGAGAGCCCGCGUGGAGCCGCCGUGGGUGCAGAUCUUGGUGGCAGUAGCAAAUACUCCAGCGAGAACCUGGAGGGCCGAGUUGCGGAGAAGGGUUCCAUGUGAACAGUAGUUGCACAUGGGUCAGUCGAUCCUGAGCUCUAGGGAANUUCCGCUCUGAGCGGACGCGGCCGUGACCGUCGGCUCCCGCCGUGGACCGGUGGACGUCGCACCCUGGGCGAAAGGGAACCGGGUCAAUAUUUCCCGGACGMACAGGCRGAGUCUGCCGUGGUUGGCUCGGGACCCGUUCUCCUGCGGGGCGGUNUCGGGUGGGCCCGGACAAAAGGUGUCAAAG
rnacentral:rRNA from 1 species